GUAUAAUUUGAGUUGCUUGUUUGUUCCAAGGAUUUGAUUCAUCUGCUUUAUUUAUGGCUUAUGAUGGAUGGCUAAAAGGACUUGAUCUUGAGGUAGCAAGGUCCUGUGCUUUUUCAUAUUGUCUGCAAACUGCUCAUUUGUCAUUAUAGUAUCAUUAUGUGCCGAACCCCACUAGUUUAACUUUUAUGUUCAUUAUGCAGGAACAAUCGGCUAUUUAAUGUGUGAGUGCACUAGAUUAAUGCAUUUUUGGACAUUUAACAUUGAGAUUCUUCUCUUUGAAGGUGGA
rnacentral:misc_RNA from 1 species